rnacentral:rRNA from 1 species
UACAGAGGGGGCAAGCGUUGUUCGGAAUUACUGGGCGUAAAGGGCGCGUAGGCGGCCUGUUAAGUCGAACGUGAAAUCCCCGGGCUCAACCCGGGAACUGCGUCCGAUACUGGCAGGCUUGAAUCCGGGAGAGGGAUGCGGAAUUCCAGGUGUAGCGGUGAAAUGCGUAGAUAUCGAGAGGAACACCUGCGGCGAAGGCGGGACUCUGGGCCGAUACUGACGCUGAGGAGCGAAAGCGUGGGGAGCAAACAGG